UCGUAUUGGACGAGAUAAACUUCUCUUACUAACUCGGUAUUGUGUAAAACAACUAAAGAGAGGUUGAAGAGUCGAAUUGAGGAGUUAUUGAGAAGAGUUUCAUUUGUCUGAGUGUAUGGUGGUAAAGUUGCAAUUGUUCUGUCGAGUAAGAAGAAGGAAUGUCCUAUGAGGUAAUGUUUUGAGGAUGUUUUGAUUCUAAGAGUGACGAUGAACAUACUGAACAUUAAGGAUUGUGUAAUGGAUGUUGAAAGAGAAUAAGUUUGUGCGAAGCCUUCUGAAUGUGAGUUUUGGUUGGAAGAAGUGAAUUUUCUUGGAUAUGAGAUUCGAGAUGAGGUGAGUUGAUGCAGAUAUCGACAAGUGGUAGUUUAUACUUCAAGGUAAUUUUAAGUCCAUGAGAAGAAUUAUUCGAUGUAUACAUUCGAGUUGUUUGUCGAUGUGUUUGUUUUGGAAAAUAAUAGGCAGUAAUGUUUGGAUCGAGAAUUGAGGCGCGUAGUGACUACAAGAGUUGAGAAUGAAGUAAAGAAGAUGGUUAGAUUCUUGAGAGAUUAGAAUUUUGGUUUGAAUUAUCAUCUUGGAAAAGCGAACGUUGUAGCCGAUGCAUUGAGUAGGAAAUCAUUGCAUAUUUCUAUGUUGAGGAUUCAAGAGUUGAAAAUUGUUGGAACAAUUUUCGAAAUUUGAGUUUGGUUGUGAAGCGACGUCUUCUUCUGUUAAGCUUAGUAUGUUGAAGCCUACGUCUAGUGUCCUUAACGAGAUUAGAGAGAGUCAGAAAUUGGAUUGCAAUUGGUUGACGAGAUGACAUUGAUUAAUCAAGGUAAAGGUAAUCACUUUCGAGAUGACAUUGAGUAUACAUCAUAAUGCUACUAAAAUGUAACAAGAUUUGAGGAAAAUGUUAAGUGGUAAAGUAUGAAUCGGGAUAGAGAGGAAUUGUGUAUUUGAGUUGGACUUGUCAGAAACCGUUUAGUUGGUACAACAGUUAUCUAUUCCCGAGUGGAAGUGGGGUCAUAUUUCUACGGAUUUUGUUUCGGGUUUGCUGAAAACGUCGAGUAAUUGUGAAGCGAUUUGGAUUAUUAUGGAUAGACGGACAAAUGUGUUCAUUUUAUUUCGAUAAGGAUGGAUUAUUUGAUGGAAAGACUUGUUAAGUUGUACACCGAGAGAUUUGUGUGUUUGCAUGGUAUUCUGUCGAGUAUUGUUUGGAUAAAACUCCGGAGUUUUCUUUUGGAUUUUGAAGAGGUUUGCGGAGUGAUUUGAGAUUAGAAGAAAAGGUACUUGAAGGUUGAUUGAAGGAUUCAUACUUGGGGUUAGUUGCUUGAAGAGAAUUUUUGAGGACGAAUAUCUUUUAAGUGGGGGAGAGUUGUAACAUCCCGAUUUUAUUAGCUAUUUAUUUAAUUAGUUUUAUUUGGUGUUUUACUAAUUAUUCAUGUUAUUCAAUUAUUUAGCAUGAUAUUAUUUAAUUUGAGAUUUGUGCUAAUUGAAUUAAUUGAAUUAUUAGUAAUAUUAUGAGAUAUUAGUUAAUGGGCCUAAUUUAGUUAGAAAGAAUAGAUUAUGGGUUAAGCCCAUUUAUGUGAGAAAGAUAGUAAGGGAGAAAUUAGGUUAGUUCUCAUAAUAUUCAUUUUGGAGAAAGAGGCUAGAGAUAAGAGAAGAGAAAGAAGAGAAGAGUGAGAGAAGAGGAUUGUGAGAUUCUUGAAGAUUGGAGGAGUUUGAAUAGAGAAAACCCAGAAAACCAAUCUUCCACUUCGUCUCCCCCACUUCGUCUCCCACAACUCAAAGCUGUUCACCGCCGCCGCCGCCGUGUAGCAUCUCGCCUCCGCCGCCGCCGUCAUCUUCAUUUACUUUGAAGUCUCUGGUUUCUACUUGUACAACGCCGAUUCAAACCUACCCAUCUCCCACAUCAAGUCUAACUCAGGGGAAUUCUGGUUUGGAAACUGAUGGUAGCAAGAUUGUGUAUGGCAGGGUGUUGUAAAUGAAUGGAGGGCUAUGUGGUGACUGUUUGGACAUGAAGGACUUGUAAGAGCGUAGGCGAAAUUGAGGCGACUUGUAUCUAGACCGUGACAUGAAGUUCAACAACAUAAUAUCUCUCAUGUUUAGAUUUCUGUUUGUAAUGUGACAACAUGACAUUUGGACCCUUGGACAAGUAUAUUUUGUAAAGGAUUUUCUUUUUUCAAUUCAUGUUGUAAUAGCCUUUGAACAAGAAUACUGAACAUGUAAUAUAUUGGAUGUUGAAUGGACUUGGAGUCAAGAUGAUUGUCUCAAUUUUCUUUUAAUGCCUUGCCUUCCAAAACGGAAUGGAUCCUUAUAGACUUUGAAUGAACUU